ensembl:rRNA 5S_rRNA 5S ribosomal RNA
GUCUAUGGCCAUACUACCCUGAACGUGCCCAAUCUUGUCUGAUCUUGGAAGUUAACUAAGCAGGGUUGGGUCUGGUUAGUACUUAAAUGGGAAAACCUCUUUAGGACUCAAUUUCCCUGGCAU